UACAGAGGUCCCAAGCGUUGUUCGGAUUCACUGGGCGUAAAGGGUGCGUAGGUGGCGCGGUAAGUCGGGUGUGAAAUUUCGGAGCUUAACUCCGAAACUGCAUUCGAUACUGCCGUGCUUGAGGACUGGAGAGGAGACUGGAAUUUACGGUGUAGCAGUGAAAUGCGUAGAGAUCGUAAGGAAGACCAGUGGCGAAGGCGGGUCUCUGGACAGUUCCUGACACUGAGGCACGAAGGCCAGGGGAGCAAACGGG
rnacentral:rRNA from 1 species